GCUUUAAAUAAAAUAGUGUCGCUUUUAAGCGACAUAAACUAUGGGUGUCGCUUCUAGGCGACACUAAUUCUUGUUUUUAAUAUUUUAAAUCCUGCGUCGGUUUUGAGCGACAUAUAUUUUGAAAACCAGUGUCGGUUGUAAGCGACACAUUGUUACUCUUUAUACCCUCUCCCCCGUGUUUUCUUUUUCUUCUCUUGCACUUUUCUUAUUCGUUCUUCCAACCUUUACAAAGUCUCCCGUGUUCCUCUUUCAGCUUUCUCCUUUGGUUUGCACUUCAUUUGUACCUAUGUUCUCUCUUUCAGCUUUCUCCUUUGGUUUUCAAAAUUCAUUUGUUCCUCUUCACAACAGAAAGUUAUUGGAGUUGGUUGAGUACAUAAAGAAUUGUUGACGUCGAAAUUCUUCAACAAAUCAGGUGUUGAAAAUUAAAAGAUUGCAAUCGUGAUAGAGUUCGAGGGGUGAAAGAUAGAAAUUGAAAAUUUUGAUAGUUAUGCCUACAUGAUAGGGAUUGAAAGAUUGUAGGCAUCUUAGUGUCAACGUAAUAUUUUACCUUCGUAAAGUGGUAAAAUAUGGACAAGAGUUGGUUGACAAUACCCCGAAAUUUUGAAGC